rnacentral:tRNA from 1 species
AUACCCGUAGUAUAAGCAUAGUACGCUGCUUUUCCAAAGCAGGGGUCUAAAUAAAUUAGUGGGUAUA